rnacentral:rRNA from 1 species
GUGCCAGCCGCCGCGGUAAUACGGAGGGUGCAAGCGUUAAUCGGAAUUACUGGGCGUAAAGCGCACGCAGGCGGCUUUUUAAGUCGGAUGUGAAAGCCCCGGGCUCAACCUGAGAAUUGCAUUCGAUACUGGGAAGCUAGAGUAUGUGAGAGGGGGGUAGAAUUCCAAGUGUAGCGGUGAAAUGCGUAGAGAUUUGGAGGAAUACCAGUGGCGAAGGCGGCCCCCUGGCACACUACUGACGCUCAGGCGCGAAAGCGUGGGUAGCAAACAGGAUUAGAUACCCCUGUAGUCC